UACGUAGGGUGCGAGCGUUAAUCGGAAUUACUGGGCGUAAAGCGUGCGCAGGCGGUUUUGUAAGUCAGAUGUGAAAUCCCCGGGCUCAACCUUGGGACUGUCAUUUGAAACUUCUAAACUAGAGGGGCAAAGAGGAAGUUGGAACGAACGGUGUAGUAGUGAAAUGCGUUGAUAUCGUUCGGAACACCAAUAGCGAAGGCAGGCUUCUGGGUGCCACCUGACACUGCUAGGACGAAAGCGUGGGGAGCGAAUGGG
rnacentral:rRNA from 1 species